UUCCACGGCAGAGAACAGACCUUCAGGUGUAC
rnacentral:piRNA from 1 species